rnacentral:rRNA from 1 species
UGGGGAAUCUUAGACAAUGGGGGAAACCCUGAUCUAGCCAUGCCGCGUGAGCGAUGAAGGCCUUAGGGUUGUAAAGCUCUUUCAGUGGGGAAGAUAAUGACGGUACCCACAGAAGAAGCCCCGGCUAACUCCGUGCCAGCAGCCGCGGUAAUACGGAGGGGGCUAGCGUUGUUCGGAAUUACUGGGCGUAAAGCGCACGUAGGCGGAUUGGAAAGUCAGAGGUGAAAUCCCGGGGCUCAACCCCGGAACUGCCUUUGAAACUUCCAGUCUUGAGGUUGGGAGAGGUGAGUGGAAUUCCGAGUGUAGAGGUGAAAUUCGUAGAUAUUCGGAGGAACACCAGUGGCGAAGGCGGCUCACUGGCCCGAUACUGACGCUGAGGUGCGAAAGCGUGGGGAGCAAACAGG